UCUUUAUUUUCAAGAUCUUAAUCAGAGGUCAUUGUUCCUUGGAGGUGAAUCCUGAUUAUUCUUAAGACAAAACUAUGAAUUCUCUUUCCUGGAGCAUAGACCAUGUGCCUCUAACACAUGGUUGAAAUAAGUAUGGGAAGCUAUGGAGCACCCAGAACUCACCUUCCAACCCCAUUUUCCCACCUCAUAUUUUUUCUAUCUUUACCAGGGACCCAGAGCAUCAGCCGCCCCAGGAGCUGAGCAGGGAGCCUCAUUGUGAGAUGAACUGAGGAGUCCUGAUCUGUCGAGGCAAGGCAUGCCACUGUGUAGAAGCAAUGCUGUUUGUCUUCUGAGGCUAUAAGAGGUCAUCGAGGCUGCAUAACUUCUGCCUGCUCCUCCUCUGGAAGUUUCAAGUAAACCAAGCAGCCACAUGAAUUGGCAAACAACUCCAGCUGAGAACCUUACGUCUAAUGUCAUCCAGCUUUGAGACGACGCCUACCCUAGCCACUCACUGACUGCAUGCUUAGGAAAGCCUGGCAGGAACCUUGUGGAGCCCAGGCAACAUCCAGAACCAUAGAGAUGAUAGGCAGUUGAUUGCAGUUUUCAUGUGUUAUUAAGUUGGUGGGGAGUUUGUUUCGUGUGCAUUAAUAGUACCCAGAAUACCAACUUACAGAAGGAAUAUGGAAGUAGAAAGUCAACUAUUGAUAGUAGAUGAAUCUGGGUCAAAUUUAUAUUUCUUACAGUGUUUUUCCAACUUGUCACUGUUUGAUAUUAUGGUAAAAUAAAAAGUUAUAAAGAGUA